rnacentral:rRNA from 1 species
UACGUAGGGUGCGAGCGUUAAUCGGAAUUACUGGGCGUAAAGUGUGCGCAGGCGGCCGCGCAAGUCGAGUGUGAAAUCCCCGAGCUUAACUUGGGAAUUGCGCUCGAAACUACGUGGCGUGGAGUGUGGCAGAGGAAGGUGGAAUUCCACGUGUAGCGGUGAAAUGCGUAGAUAUGUGGAGGAACACCGAUGGCGAAGGCAGCCUUCUGGGCCAACACUGACGCUCAUGCACGAAAGCGUGGGGAGCAAACAGG